AUCAUCUGCAAGUCUAACCUCUGAAAGAUCUACUCUGCUCCCAGACUGUGGGAUAGAAAUAUGCCUCCUCACUGACUCUGAGGGACCAGUCUCAUGAUCUGACACGAACUAAAUAUCAGGAGAUGCUUUGUGAUCACGAGGAGGUGAAGACGGUCCCUCCUCCUCUGCUCUUUCUUCUGCUAUCUCCUCAACACCCUUCGACCAAUCGCCAUCAGUCUUUCAAAAACCCAUGUGAUGCAAUGUGUGGCGGUUGAUGGUGUCAGAGUG
rnacentral:lncRNA from 1 species